rnacentral:sRNA from 1 species
UGUGGAACACCAUGUCCCAAGGGUAGCCAUCUUCAGAGAUUCGGCUCAAUACCCAGGAACCAUGUCUGGUGCUGACAAACACCUGCUAUGUCCCGACAAGGGCUACCUGGUAACUCGCACUGAUAGAGGUCCAAAAUCACUGACCUGAGCACAUGCAGUGCCCUCGGAUGGCUCUUUACUUGGCUGAUGGCAAAGGUAGCUCAGCUUUUAAUCUAUCUGUCUAUCUGUCUAUCUAUCUAUCUAUCUAUCUAUCUAUCUAUCUAUCUAUCUAUCUAUCUAUCAUCUACGUAACAUAUCUAUCAUUUAUCCAAAAUCUAUCAACUGACAUAUAUCUACCUAUCAUAUCUAUCAUGUAUGUCUAUUAUCUAUCUA